ACUGCCGGUGACAAACCGGAGGAAGUGGGGAUGACGUCAAGUCAUCAUGGCCCUUACGGCCUGGGCUACACACGUGCUACAAUGGUCGGUACAAAGGGUUGCCAAGCCGCGAGGUGGAGCUAAUCCCAUAAAACCGAUCGUAGUCCGGAUCGCAGUCUGCAACUCGACUGCGUGAAGUCGGAAUCGCUAGUAAUCGUGAAUCAGAAUGUCACGGUGAAUACGUUCCCGGGCCUU
rnacentral:rRNA from 1 species